rnacentral:rRNA from 1 species
GUGGGGAAUAUUGCACAAUGGGGGGAACCCUGAUGCAGCGACGCCGCGUGAGUGAAGAAGUGUUUCGGCACGUAAAGCUCUGUCAGCAGGGAAGAAGAUGACGGUACCUGACCAAGAAGCCCCGGCUAACUACGUGCCAGCAGCCGCGGUAAUACGUAGGGGGCAAGCGUUAUCCGGAUUUACUGGGUGUAAAGGGAGCGCAGACGGCAGCGCAAGUCCGGGGUGAAAGCCCGCGGCCCAACCGCGGGACUGCCCUGGAAACUGUGCGGCUGGAGUGCCGGAGAGGUAAGCGGAAUUCCUAGUGUAGCGGUGAAAUGCGUAGAUAUUAGGAGGAACACCAGUGGCGAAGGCGGCUUACUGGACUGUAACUGACGUUGAGGCUCGAAAGCGUGGGGAGCAAACAGGA